rnacentral:rRNA from 1 species
UAGUGGCGAACGGGUGAGUAACGCGUGAGGAACCUGCCUUUCAGUGGGGGACAACAGUUGGAAACGACUGCUAAUACCGCAUAAUACUUUCGAACGGCAUCGUUUGAAAGUCAAAGAUUUAUUGCUGAAAGAUGGCCUCACGUCUGAUUAGCUAGUUGGUGGGGUAACGGCCCACCAAGGCGACGAUCAGUAGCCGGUCUGAGAGGAUGAACGGCCACAUUGGGACUGAGAUACGGCCCAGACUCCUACGGGAGGCAGCAGUGGGGAAUAUUGGGCAAUGGGGGAAACCCUGACCCAGCAACGCCGCGUGAAGGAAGAAGGCCUUCGGGUUGUAAACUUCUUUUACCAGGGACGAAAGAAAUGACGGUACCUGGAGAAAAAGCAACGGCUAACUACGUGCCAGCAGCCGCGGUAAUACGUAGGUUGCGAGCGUUGUCCGGAUUUACUGGGUGUAAAGGGCGUGUAGGCGGAGAUGCAAGUUGGGAGUGAAAUCCCGGGGCUCAACCCCGGAACUGCUUUCAAAACUGUAUCCCUUGAGUGUCGGAGAGGCAAGCGGAAUUCCUAGUGUAGCGGUGAAAUGCGUAGAUAUUAGGAGGAACACCAGUGGCGAAGGCGGCUUGCUGGACGAUACUGACGCUGAGGCGCGAAAGCGUGGGGAGCAAA